rnacentral:piRNA from 1 species
UGAUUAGGAUUCGAUGUCGAUGUAGAG